rnacentral:rRNA from 1 species
CCUACGGGAGGCAGCAGUGGGGAAUAUUGCACAAUGGGGGAAACCCUGAUGCAGCGACGCCACGUGAGCGAUGAAGUAUUUCGGUAUGUAAAGCUCUAUCAGCAGGGAAGAAAAUGACGGUACCUGACUAAGAAGCCCCGGCUAACUACGUGCCAGCAGCCGCGGUAAUACGGAGGGUGCGAGCGUUAAUCGGAAUUACUGGGCGUAAAGCGCUCGUAGGCGGUAUGUCAAGUCAAGGGUGAAAUCCCCGCGCUCAACGUGGGAACUGCCUUUGAAACUGGCAAACUGGAGUGUGUGAGAGGAUAGUGGAAUUCCAGGUGUAGGAGUGAAAUCCGUAGAUAUCUGGAGGAACAUCAGUGGCGAAGGCAGCAUACCGGUGCACAACUGACGCUCAGGCACGAAAGCGUGGGUAUCGAACAGGAUUAGAUACCCCAGUAGUC